rnacentral:rRNA from 1 species
CCCUUAGAUGUUCUGGGCCGCACGCGCGCUACACUGACGAAUGCAACGAGCUUAUAACCUUGGCCGAAAGGUUUGGGUAAUCUCCAAAUUUCGUCGUGAUGGGGAUAGAUUAUUGCAAUUAUUAAUCUUCAACGAGGAAUGCCUAGUAAGCGCAAGUCAUCAGCUUGCGUUGAUUACGUCCCUGCCCUUUGUACACACCGCCCGUCGCUCCUACCGAUUGAAUGGUCCGGUGAAGCGUUCGGACCGUGGCCUUUGGACGGUUCGCCGUCUGUUGGCUGCGGGAAGUUCGUUAAACCUUAUCAUUUAGAGGAAGGAGAAGUCGUANCA